GUUGGUCGUGUGGCGGGGGGUGGGGAUGGGGUGGGAUCACUUCACUCACAGUCUCAGAGGGCUCGUGCACGUAUGACUCUGGUACAGGGCCGCUGGUGAAGCAGUACUUCUCGAGGGUAGGAACCUGUGGAGGAGGCAGCUCGAAUUCCCCGAACCUCCCCAAACAGCACAGCCAGAUUGGAUGCAGUGUGUGCUGCCUUUGCCAGCUCAGGAACCAUUUUGGAGAGAGAAAAGAAGACCCUAAACACUUUUGUUAUUUUUGAUCACUCAGAAUUUUUUUUUUUUUUUUUUUGCCUCACUGUUGGUAAAGCUGAGAAAAAAAGAUCACAUUUUCCUUAGUGAGAAAAGCUGCAGUUUCUUCCAGUAUGCCUUUGAAGAGAGGGGCCCACCGCGGUUCCUGUCCUUGGAGAUGGUGUAUUGUUGAAGCGGGAGCUGUGACAAAGGCAGUGAGCCUUUGAGGUGCGUUCCAGUGGAGAAAUGGAUGUGAGGUCCGCACGCUGGCCACACAUCUCCAGCAAGCAGCAACCUCAAAUGCUAAUUGCGCAUGUUAAACAGAAGCAUGGGCUCCCAGCAGCCUCCCGGCUCCUUUUCGUAGAUGUUAUACGGAGAUGUUUAAGCCCUAGGACUCUUCCUUUCUUCCCCCUGGCGAAAGCUCUUCCUGUUGCCCACUUGUGUUCCCAUUAAGGGCCUGAGAUUGCGGUCCUCUGCUUGCAAAAAGCAGGCAAGUGCCAUGGGGGGGGGGGGGAUACUGGAGCCUUAGCGGUGAUCCCAGAAGUUGAGCGGUGUCAUGGCAAUUUUGCAAACUUAAAAACAGUAUGGAAGGCAAAACCAACCCACCAACCAACCAACCAACCAACCAACCAACCAACCAACCAACCAAGGGAGCCACAUGAAGUGCUGAGUCAUAGAGAAGAGCUGUGUGUGGGGUAGGCUGCCACCUUCCCUGGAGAGUGGAUAGCCCUGGGCUUCGGCAGUUACGGAGAUGAAGGGACCCUUCCUGCACAGUACGGGAUUCCAUGGCACUUUACAGCUUCGACUCAGAAGCCACAGUGACAUGCUUCAAGGGCCUUUCUUCUACUUGUGCCUCUCAGUGCCUCCAAAUGUGCCUUGUGCCAACACCCAAGCUGCUUACCUGGCUAUGAUCAGGUUGUACGCGUCAUUAAUCCCAGCACUUAGGAAGCAAGAGUCAAGCAGAGCUCUGUAAGGUGGAGGUUAGCCUGGUCUAAAUAGUGAGAUCCAGGCCAGCCAGGGCUACAGUGAGAGACUCUGCCUCAAAACCAAAACAAAACAGACAAACCAAAAUGACAACAAUCUCCACAUUGAGACAUGAGUCUGUCAUAUUAAGGAUCCUUCACAAACCCUAUUUUUUUCCUCCACAGUGCUGGGAACCCAGCAUCCUGAUUGUAAGAGGUACAUUUCAGCCAGUCAGUCAUCUCUUCAAAUGCCUCCAGUGGAAUUUCCAUGACUUUCAGAGUUUUUGGAGCUGCAGUCUGUACUCCAUGGCCUUGGGGUGCGAGUGAGUGGCUUUCCCUCACUCAGGCUCAGAACCACUACAGUAGCAGGACGCCACCCUAAGGUGCUGGUUGGGUUGAUGGAAGCAAAGGCUUGGCAGCAAGAAUAAAAAAGCUUGAGGCUUACGGAAGAUUUAGAACUUUACUCAAUUCAAGAAGCUUCAGAAAUGGAAAUGUGGACAUAAUAUCAGAAACCAUGGAAAUUAAAAAAAAAAAAACAAACCAUCAGGUCCUACUACAAAAGUUUUAUACCCAGCUAAACUGGAAACUCUGGAUGAAAGGAAGCUUCAAUCUAUGAUCUGGGGAUCCCUCGGUGCCCCAUGGAGCGCCCUGGAGGACCCAACACGGGAAGAAGAAGGAGGAACACUGGGCAGAACUCAGAAGCCCUGGCUUGCUGGAGCGUCUGUUAACUUUAUAUAAUGGGACCAAUCUGCAAUAUCGUUUUUAAAACUUUUGAUGCAGUGUCUUCUGUAGCCCAGGCUGGUCUUGAACUUGCAACAGAGUUGACAAUCACCUUGAACUUCUGAUCUUCUUACUCUCACCUCCUGCAUGCUCCAAUUAUGGUUAGGCACCGUCACAAACGGUCUCUGAAGUGCAGGGGAUUGAACCCAGGACUUCACGUACUCUGCCCACCAAGCCACAUGCCGGGCCCUCUGCACCAUCACUUGGAGGAUUCUGAUGCUCAGAUAUUUCCGCACACUCUUCAGUUGAGUUCUCCUCUCUUAGGUCAAAGGUAACCUUAGCACAAAGAGAUCGGUGGGGGCAGAGGUGGGGCUUGAGCUCAGGUCAUAUGUAAAGUCUUCCUUCCUUCCUUCCUUCCUUCCUCCCUCCCUCCCUCCUUCUCUCUCUCUCUCUCUUCCUCCCUCCCUCUCUUCUUCCUUCCUUCCUUCCUCCC